UUCGCAAUGCCCGAAAGGGUGACGAAGCGACGCCGCGUGUGGGAAGAAGGCCUUCGGGUUGUAAACCACUGUCGGGAGUUAAGAAAUGCAAGGAUAUUAAUAGUGUCUUUGCUUGACUAAGGCUCCGGAGGAAGCCACGGCUAACUCUGUGCCAGCAGCCGCGGUAAUACAGAGGCGGCAAGCGUUGUUCGGAAUUAUUGGGCGUAAAGAGCUCGUAGGCGGCUAUGUAAGUCGGUUGUGAAAGCCUUCCGCUCAACGGGAGAACAGCAUCCGAUACUACAUGGCUUGAGUGCGGGAGGGGAGAGUGGAACUUCUGGUGGAGCGGUGAAAUGCGUAGAUAUCAGAAGGAACGCCGGCGGCGAAAGCGGCUCUCUGGCCCAUAACUGACGCUGAGUGUGCGAAAGCUAGGGGAGCAAACGGAUUAGAUACCCCGGUAGUCCUAGCCGUAAACGAU
rnacentral:rRNA from 1 species